UACGAAGGGGGGCUAGCGUUGCUCGGAAUCACUGGGCGUAAAGGGCGCGUAGGCGGGCUCUUAAGUCAGGUGUGAAAUCCCAGGGCUCAACCCUGGAAGUGCAUUUGAUACUGUUAGGCUUGAGUGUGGGAGAGGCUAGUAGAAUUCCUGGUGUAGUGGUGAAAUACGUAGAUAUCAGGAGGAAUACCGAUGGCGAAGGCAGGUCUCUGGGCUGAAACUGACGCUCAUGCACGAAAGCGUGGGGAGCAAACAGG
rnacentral:rRNA from 1 species